GUGGAGCUGGCUCCGGCCCCUGCUGUCUCUCCAGGGCCUGGGCUCCCAGGCUCUCAGUGAUGCCAGCCAUCCUGCCCGGCCCCUCCCCGGGGUGACGCAUGAAAGGGCUUCUGAAACUGAAGGGAACCCUGGCAGCGGGGGACGGUGUGGCUUUAGGGUGACGCCGCCCCUAAAACCGUCCUGUCUCUUCGCCCCUCCCUGGUGAGGCGCGCCAGGAAGUCACCUGAUCAGGUCACCGCCCAGCAAGCCCACCCCCUCCCGUCUCAGCUUCCGGUUGUGCAGCCCUUAGAACAGCUCAGCUGCGGGCCUUCUCUUUCCUUCAGCUUGGAAUCUAGUUGAUUUGCAGUGUUGUGCUAACGUCUGGUGUGCGGCAGAGUGGUUCAGCUGCACGCACACACGUACUUUUUCACGCCGUGUUCUCACGGGACGUCUAAUGCAGCUCCUGCACUGCACGGGCUCUCACUUGGGCCCCGACCAGGCAUAGAAUUUCAGCCUCAGCAGUAAAAGCGCCAAGGCCUAACAACCGGCCCGCCGGGAACGCCUCACUUACACUCAGAGGCCGGAACCAGAAGGGCUGUCUUUGGAAUGGGCGGCAGUCGCUCGCUUGGAUCUGUGGGUUUGAGUCUCAAGCAGAGGCAGCAUCUUGGAAGAUAAUCUCUCCUGUGUGCAGCCAGCAGUGACACCAGGCUGGAUGCUGCCGGAGCCCAGCCUCUACCCUGGGCUGUGCUGUUCCUGGGGAGUGGACUGCACGGGCCGGCUCGCCUUCAGUGUGGGCCGAGGGCCUGCUGUGUGCGGGUCCCGCCUCAGAGCAGCACUGCCACCAGCCUGGCCGGAUAGGAUGGCACCUCCCUAUCAUGGCCUCAGAUGGGGUCUCUCCCUGGACCCCCAACUGCCAGGACCGAGGUGGGGCCACAAGCCGUGGCUUCCUCUCUUCACUCGGCAGCUCAGGCGGUAGGAGCAGCUUGUGCAAAGGCCCUGGGGUAGGAGUGCAGUCCGCUCCUCUGGGCAGAGUGGAGGAGAGGAUGGCUGCAGGCCACCUGCUCUCAGGGUGCCUGUGAGACGCGCCCCGGGGCUGCAGGCAUGACCUCUGUGACAGGCAUCCUCACUGCAAAACAGAGGGAUGGGUGUGGGCUCCGUGAACGAGCCUGUGGACAUACUCCACAGACACACGCCGCGGACAUGGCCCUUGACUGCACAGCACACGCAGGCACCGUGGCUCUGCACCCACGGGCGUUCAGGCUGGGACCCUGAUGGACAUUUCUAAAAUUCCAAUUGCUGCCCAUUUAUCUCAGUGCAUAUGAGAAAUAACGUACCUGUGUGUGUAACUAGCAACUCAAUCCAUGCUUUC
ensembl:lncRNA